UGGCAGUCCAGGUGGUGGGAGAAGCCUAAGCAAAACUCUGGGGAGAUAAAGAAGCCCCAAGGACACUGAGGUGUGGGAGCUCAAGCUGCUGCCUCCUCUUCUUUCAGCAAUCCUGGAGUUCUGGAAACUUCCCAUUGCUGAACGUGGUCCUUGGGACCCGUGUCUUCAACAUUGCUCCAGUGGGUGCUCAGUGACACUUUGUUGGCAACAGCCACGAUUUGCGCACCCGACCCUGCUGUACAGAGCGCCUCCAUGUCUGACUAAUCCCCGAGACAUCUCAAGAGGAACAUGCUGUCACUGCUGUUUACAGACGAAGGGGCUUACGGAAGUAGCAGGCCAAAGACGCUGUGCCAGAGGUGUCACUUUCCUGAGGACCUGAGCAAGGUUUGAAGCCAGGAUGUCAGACUCUGAAACCUUGAAACAAUUGGCAGAGACAAAGCAAGGUGGAGCUGAGAUCUUUGAGGAGG